rnacentral:rRNA from 1 species
UACGUAGGGGGCAAGCGUUGUCCGGAUUUAUUGGGCGUAAAGCGCGUGUAGGCGGCCACACAGGUCCGUUGUGAAGACUCGAGGCUUAACCUCGAGACGUCGAUGGAAACCGUAUGGCUAGAGUCCGGAAGAGGAGAGUGGAAUUCCUGGUGUAGCGGUGAAAUGCGCAGAUAUCAGGAAGAACACCCGUGGCGAAGGCGGCUCUCUGGGACGGUACUGACGCUGAGACGCGAAAGCGUGGGGAGCGAACAGG